UCCCCUGUAGCGUAAUGGUUAACGCGUCAGACUUUUAAUCUGAAAAUUGCGGGUUCGAGUCCCGUCAGGGGAG